rnacentral:rRNA from 1 species
UACGUAGGGGGCGAGCGUUGUCCGGAUUCAUUGGGCGUAAAGCGCUUUAAGGCGGUUCGCUAAGUCGCGUGUGAAACCUCCAGGCUCAACCUGGGAGACGCCACGCGAUACUGGCGUGGCUAGAGUUCGGUAGGGGAUCACGGAAUUCCUGGUGUAGCGGUGAAAUGCGCAGAUAUCAGGAGGAACACCGGUGGCGAAGGCGGUGAUCUGGGCCGACACUGACGCUGUAGAGCGAAAGCGUGGGGAGCGAACAGG